rnacentral:ncRNA from 2 species
UCCGUAGGUGAACCUGCGGAAG